rnacentral:rRNA from 1 species
UUUUAAAAAGGCGGCGUAAGCUGUCGACUAUGGGAUGGCCCGCGGUGCAUUAGCUAGUUGGUAAGGUAAAGGCUUACCAAGGCGAUGAUGCAUAGCCCGAGUUGAGAGACUGAUCGGGCCACAUUGGGGACUGAGACACGGGGCCCAAACUCCUACGGGGGGAGGGGCAGCAGGUAGGGGGAAUCUUCCACAAUGGACGCAAGUCUGAUGGAGCAACGCCGCGUGAGUGAAGUAAGGUUUUCGGAUCGUAAAGCUCUGUUGUUGGUGAAGAAGGAUAGAGGUAGUAACUGGUCCUUUAUUUGACGGUAAUCAACCAGAAAGUCACGGCUAACUACGUGCCAGCAGCCGCGGUAAU